rnacentral:rRNA from 1 species
AGAGUUUGAUCCUGGCUCAGGAUGAACGCUGGCGGCGUGCUUAACACAUGCAAGUCGAACGAUGAUCCCAGCUUGCUGGGGGAUUAGUGGCGAACGGGUGAGUAACACGUGAGUAACCUGCCCUUAACUCUGGGAUAAGCCUGGGAAACUGGGUCUAAUACCGGAUAUGACUCCUCAUCGCAUGGUGGGGGGUGGAAAGCUUUUUGUGGUUUUGGAUGGACUCGCGGCCUAUCAGCUUGUUGGUGAGGUAAUGGCUUACCAAGGCGACGACGGGUAGCCGGCCUGAGAGGGUGACCGGCCACACUGGGACUGAGACACGGCCCAGACUCCUACGGGAGGCAGCAGUGGGGAAUAUUGCACAAUGGGCGCAAGCCUGAUGCAGCGACGCCGCGUGAGGGAUGACGGCCUUCGGGUUGUAAACCUCUUUCAGUAGGGAAGAAGCGAAAGAAACG